rnacentral:rRNA from 1 species
UACAGAGGUCUCAAGCGUUGUUCGGAUUCAUUGGGCGUAAAGGGUGCGUAGGUGGCGUCGUAAGUCAGGUGUGAAAGCCCCGGGCUCAACCUGGGAAUUGCAUUUGAGACUGCAUAGCUAGGGUGCGGAAGAGGGAAGCGGAAUUUCCGGUGUAGCGGUGAAAUGCGUAGAUAUCGGAAGGAACAUCAGUGGCGAAAGCGGCUUCCUGGUCCAGCACCGACGUUCAGGCACGAAAGCGUGGGGAGCAAACAGG